GGCGGCGGCUGUGGCCGGGGCCGCGGCGCGCGCGCGUUCCGAGUCCGCCGCUCCCUCCCGAGCGGCCGCGGGGCCCAGGCGGAGGCGGGAAGGGCCGCGGCUCCCGGCUUCUGUUCCGUCAGCGGACGCGCCCCUCCCCGACCUGCUCUUCUCGCCGGCCCCGGGCGAAGGGGCGGGGUGGGCGCGGGGCCGAGGAAGCCAGGGAAAGGAUCUGUGUAGAGUUCUUCAGCUCCUCCAAGGGGUCCAGACUCAAAACAGAUUAAGAACUACUGUUGUACACGAGGAAGAAGCGUGGCAGCUGAAGAUCCAGCUCUGGGAAUGCAGGAAGAAGUGGAGUCGAAAAAACAGGUUAUGGAAGAUGCUUAAGGGUUUUAGAUACGAUGAAUUAAUGUUAGCUACAUUAUAAUGAUUGUACUAGUUAAUGUCAGUUUUGUAAAAAGUGUUUUUAUAGUUGUUGGCAUAUAUAAAACUUGCACAAGAGGGUUUAUUAA